rnacentral:rRNA from 1 species
CACGUAGGGCGCAAGCGUUGUCCGGAAUUAUUGGGCGUAAAGAGCUCGUAGGCGGCUUGUCGCGUCUGUUGUGAAAGCCCGGGGCUUAACCCCGGGUCUGCAGUGGAUACGGGCAGGCUAGAGGCAGGUAGGGGAGACUGGAAUUCCUGGUGUAGCGGUGAAAUGCGCAGAUAUCAGGAGGAACACCGAUGGCGAAGGCAGGUCUCUGGGCAUUAACUGACGCUGAGGAGCGAAAGCAUGGGGAGCGAACAGG